rnacentral:rRNA from 1 species
UACGUAGGUGGCAAGCGCUGUCCGGAUUUAUUGGGUUUAAAGGGUGCGUAGGCGGUUGAUUAAGUCAGUUGUGAAAUACGGCAGCUUAACUGUCGAGGUGCAAUUGAUACUGGUUGACUUGAGUACAGACGAGGUAGGCGGAAUUGACGGUGUAGCGGUGAAAUGCAUAGAUAUCGUCAAGAACACCGAUAGCGAAGGCAGCUUACUAGACUGUAACUGACGCUGAGGCACGAAAGUGUGGGGAUCAAACAGG